AUCGCGCGGAAGAUUCAUUACUCCGCGCGAUUUUCAAUAGCAUUGAAUUACUGCACGAAAUUCGGGUUGCUAUGUGGUUACGCGAUAAAAUUUGAUUGGUUCCGACACCUAGAAAGAACCAAUCAAAACUCGCGUCUUAUCCAGCAUUCAUGCAGUCAUCAUGAUGACGGUUGUUUCACAUUAACACAAAACCUUUUAAGGGCGAAAGAGUGAUCAAUUUUGAUGACAUUAGCGAUGAGCUGUAGCAGUGUUCCCAACUUGAACAUCAUCUUCUGUGUACAUAUCUGAGGCAGAGCCAGCUUGCCCAUCUGACCUCUGUUGUGGACAACCGAGUAAGAGCCAGCUUGCAUGUCAUCUGUUGUGGACAUCCGUGUUAGAGCCAGCUUGCACGUCCUCUAUUGUGGACAUCAGUGUUAGUGCUAGCUUGCAUGUCAUCUGUUGUGAACAUCCGUGUAAGAGCCAGCUUGCACGUCAUCUCUUUUGGACAUCAGUGUUAGAGCCAGCUUACACAUCCUCUGUUGUGGACAUCCGUGUAAGUGCUAGCUUGCACGUAAUCUGUUGUGGACAUCUGUGUUAGAGCCAGCUUGCACGUCAUAUGUUUAGGACAUCAGUCAGAGAUAGCUUGCAUGUUAUAUACUUGUGGACAUUAGUCAGAGCCAGCAAGGACAAUCUCUGUUGUGGAUAUCUGUCUUAGAGCUUGCACGUCAUCGGUUGUUCACAUCCUUGUAAUAACCAGCUUGCACAUCAACUGAUGUGGAAAUCUGAGUCAGAGCCAGCUUGCACAUCAUCCGUUGUGGACAUCUCUUUAUGAUUCUACUCUUUGCUUAGAUUGACACUGUGACUUUAGUGUAAUAUGUUACAACCUUAAGCUAUUCCUAUUGUUGAAUAAAAAUAUUGUGUCAUUAAAAUAUAUUUUGUUGGAUAA